AUUGAACGCUGGCGGAAUGCUUUACACAUGCAAGUCGAACGGCAGCACGGACUUCGGUCUGGUGGCGAGUGGCGAACGGGUGAGUAAUGUAUCGGAACGUGCCCAGUCGUGGGGGAUAACGUAGUGAAAAUUACGCUAAUACCGCAUACGAUCUAUGGAUGAAAGCGGGGGAUCGCAAGACCUCGCGCGAUUGGAGCGGCCGAGAUCAGAUUAGGUAGUUGGUGGGGUAAAGGCACACCAAGCCAACGAUCUGUAGCUGGUCUGAGAGGACGACCAGCCACACUGGAACUGAGACACGGUCCAGACUCCUACGGGAGGCAGCAGUGGGGAAUGUUGGACAAGGGGCGAAAGCCUGAUCCAGCCAUUCCGCGUGCAGGAUGAAGGCCCUCGGGUUGUAAACUGCUUUUGUACAGAACGAAAAGGUUUCUACUAAUACUAGGAGCUCAUGACGGUACUGUAAGAAUAAGCACCGGCUAACUACGUGCCAGCAGCCGCAGUAA
rnacentral:rRNA from 1 species